rnacentral:rRNA from 1 species
CUGGGGAGUACGGUCGCAAGAUUAAAACUCAAAUGAAUUGACGGGGGCCCGCACAAGCGGUGGAGCAUGUGGUUUAAUUCGAUGCAACGCGAAGAACCUUACCUACUCUUGACAUCCAGAGAAGCCGGAAGAGAUUCUGGUGUGCCUUCGGGAGCUCUGAGACAGGUGCUGCAUGGCUGUCGUCAGCUCGUGUUGUGAAAUGUUGGGUUAAGUCCCGCAACGAGCGCAACCCUUAUCCUUGUUUGCCAGCACGUAAUGGUGGGAACUCCAGGGAGACUGCCGGUGAUAAACCGGAGGAAGGUGGGGACGACGUCAAGUCAUCAUGGCCCUUACGAGUAGGGCUACACACGUGCUACAAUGGCGCAUACAGAGGGCGGCCAACCAGCGAUGGUGAGCGAAUCCCAAAAAGUGCGUCGUAGUCCGGAUUGGAGUCUGCAACUCGACUCCAUGAAGUCGGAAUCGCUAGUAAUCGUAGAUCAGAAUGCUACGGUGAAUACGUUCCCGGGCCUUGUACACACCGCCCGUCACACCAUGGGAGUGGGCUGCAAAAGAAGUGGGUAGUUUAACCUUCGGGAGGACGCUCACCACUUUGUGGUUCAUGACUGGGGUGAAGUCGUAACAAGGUAGCGCUAGGGGAACCUGGCGCUGGAUCACCUCCUU